rnacentral:rRNA from 1 species
GCUUAGCCCUAAACUCAAAUAAUUACAAAAACAAGAUUAUUCGCCAGAGUACUACCGGCAACAGCCCGAAACUCAAAGGACUUGGCGGUGCUUUAUACCCUUCUAGAGGAGCCUGUUCUGAUAAUCGAUAAACCCCGAUAAACCUCACCAAUCCUUGGUAAUUCAGUCUAUAUACCGCCAUCUUCCAGCAAACCCUAAAAAGGGGAACAAAAGUAAGCUCAAUCAUAGCACAUAAAGACGUUAGGUCAAGGUGUAACCUAUGGAAUGGGAAGAAAUGGGCUACAUUUUCUACCUCAAGAAAAUUCAAUACGAAAGCCAUUAUGAAAUUAAUGGCCAAAGGAGGAUUUAGUAGUAAACUAAGAAUAGAGUGCUUAGUUGAACCAGGCCAUGAAGC